rnacentral:rRNA from 1 species
ACAAGCGGUGGAGCAUGUGGUUUAAUUCGACGCUACGCGAAGAACCUUACCUGGGCUUGAACUGCUGGUGGUAGAAGCCCGAAAGGGUAACGACCCGGAGCAAUCCGGGAGCCAGUAGAGGUGCUGCAUGGCUGUCGUCAGCUCGUGUCGUGAGAUGUUGGGUUAAGUCCCGCAACGAGCGCAACCCUUACCCUUAGUUGCCAGCGGGUAAUGCCGGGCACUCUAAGGGGACCGCCCCGGAUAACGGGGAGGAAGGCGGGGAUGACGUCAAGUCAGCAUGGCCUUUAUGUCCAGGGCUACACACGUGCUACAAUGGGCGAUACAGAGGGAAGCAAGGCCGCAAGGUAGAGCUAAUCCCUAAAGUCGUCCUCAGUUCGGAUUGCAGGCUGCAACUCGCCUGCAUGAAGUCGGAAUCGCUAGUAAUCGCGGAUCAGCUACGCCGCGGUGAAUACGUUCUCGGGCCUU